CCUACGGGAGGCAGCAGUGGGGAAUAUUGCACAAUGGGGGAAACCCUGAUGCAGCGACGCCGCGUGAGUGAAGAAGUAUUUCGGUAUGUAAAGCUCUAUCAGCAGGGAAGAAGAAAUACGGUACCUUACUAAGAACCCCCGGCUAACUACGUGCCAGCAGCCGCGGUAAUACGUAGGGGGCAAGCGUUAUUCGGAUUUACUGGGUGUAAAGGGAACGUAGACGGGUGUGCAAGUCUGAAGUGAAAGCCCAGGUCUCAACCCGGGGACUGCUUUGGAGACUGGGGAGCUAGAGUGCUGGAGAGGGAAGUAGAAUUCCAAGUGUAGCGGUGAAAUGCGUAGAGAUUAGGAGGAACACCAGUGGCGAAGGCGGCUUACUGGACAGUAACUGACGUUGAGGCUCGAAAGCGUGGGGAGCAAACAGGAUUAGAUACCCCAGUAGUC
rnacentral:rRNA from 1 species